rnacentral:rRNA from 1 species
GUGUCAGCCGCCGCGGUAAUACGUAGGUCCCGAACGUUGCGCGAAUUUACUGGGCGUAAAGGGUCCGUAGGCGGUCUGGUAAGUGGAAGGUGAAAUCCUGGGGCUCAACUCCAGAAUUGCCUUCCAAACUGCCGGACUUGAGGCAGGGAGAGGUCGGCGGAAUUCCCGGUGUAGCGGUGAAAUGCGUAGAUAUCAGGAAGAACGCCAGAGGCGAAGGCGGCUCUCUAGCCCGGUACUGACGCUGAGGCACGAAAGCGUGGGGAGCGAACGGGAUUAGAUACCCCGGUAGUCCACGCCCUAAACGAUGGAUGCUAGGUGUUGGAUCCGAGAGGAUUCAGCGCCGAAGCUAACGCGUUAAGCAUCCCGCCUGGGGACUACGGCCGCAAGGCUGAAACUCAAAUGAAUUGGCGGGG